rnacentral:rRNA from 1 species
UGGGGGAUAUUGCACAAUGGGCGAAAGCCUGAUGCAGCGACGCUGCGUGGGGGAUGAAGGCCUUCGGGUUGUAAACUUCUUUUGCUCUGAACAAGGCAUGCCUUUGGGGUGUGUUGAGUGUAGGGGUUGAUUAGCGCCGGCUAACUACGUGCCAGCAGCCGCGGUAAUAUGUAGGGCGCGAGCGUUGUCCGGAAUUAUUGGGCGUAAAGGGCUUGUAGGUGGCUGGUUGCGUCUGUCGUGAAAGCUCAUGGCUUAACUGUGGGUUUGCGGUGGGUACGGGCUGGCUUGAGUGCAGUAGGGGAGGCUGGAAUUCCUGGUGUAGCGGUGGAAUGCGAGGAUAUCAGGAGGAAUACCGGUGGCGAAGGCGGGUCUAUGGGCUGUUACUGACGCUGAGGAGCUAAAGCGUGAGGAGCGAACAGG